AAGCGUUACUCGGAAUCACUGGGCGUAAAGGACGCGUAGGCUGUUUAGCAAUUCAGAUGUGAAAUCCAAUGGCUCAACCAUUGAACUGCAUUUGAAACUGCUAGACUAGAGUAUGGGAGGGGAGAUGGAAUUAGUGGUGUAGGGGUAAAAUCCGUAGAUAUCACUAGGAAUACCUAAAGCGAAGGCGAUCUCCUGGAACAUUACUGACGCUAAGGCGUGAAAGCGUGGGGAGCAAACAGGAUUAGAUACCCUGGCAGUCCACGCCCUAAACGAUGAACACUAGUCGUCGCGAUGCUUGUCAUUGCGGUGAUGCACUUAACAGAUUAAGUGUUCCGCCUGGGGAGUACGGUCGCAAGAUUAAAACUCAAAGGAAUAGACGGGGACCCGCACAAGUGGUGGAGCAUGUGGUUUAAUUCGAAGAUACGCGAAAAACCUUACCUAGCCUUGACAUUGAUAGAAUACUGUAGAGAUACGGUAGUGCCCUUCGGGGAGCUUGAAAACAGGUGCUGCACGGCUGUCGUCAGCUCGUGUCGUGAGAUGUUGGGUUAAGUCCCGCAACGAGCGCAACCCUCGUCCUUAGUUGCCAGCAGGUUAAGCUGGGCACUCUAGGGAGACUGCCUUCGUAAGGAGGAGGAAGGUGAGGACGACGUCAAGUCAUCAUGGCCCUUAUGGCUAGGGCUACACACGUGCUACAAUGGGGCGUACAGAGUGUUGCAAUACCGCGAGGUGGAGCCAAUCACUUAAAGCGUCUCUCAGUUCGGAUUGUUCUCUGCAACUCGAGAACAUGAAGCUGGAAUCACUAGUAAUCGUAGAUCAGCAUUGCUACGGUGAAUACGUUCCCGGGUCUUGUACUCACCGCCCGUCACACCAUGGGAGUUGAUUUCACCCGAAAUUGGGAAGCUAACCUUCGGGGGGCUACCACUUACGGUGGAAUUAGCGACUGGGGUGAAGUCGUAACAAGGUAACC
rnacentral:rRNA from 1 species